GUGUGUGUGUGUGUAUGUGUAUGUGUGUAUAUAUAUAUAUAUAUAUAUAUAUAUAUAUAUACAUAUAUAUACACACCACACCAAACAGGACCC